rnacentral:rRNA from 1 species
CCUANGGGGGGCAGCAGUAAGGAAUAUUGGGCAAUGGACGCAAGUCUGACCCAGCCAUGCCGCGUGAAGGAUGAAUGUCCUAUGGAUUGUAAACUUCUUUUAUGCAGGAAAAACAUCCCGGUCGUGAACCGGGACUGAUGGUACUGUAUGAAUAAGCAUCGGCUAACUCCGUGCCAGCAGCCGCGGUAAUACGGAGGAUGCAAGCGUUAUCCGGAUUCAUUGGGUUUAAAGGGUGCGCAGGCGGAAUGAUAAGUCAGUGGUGAAAUCUCCCGGCUCAACCGGGAAACUGCCAUUGAUACUGUCAUUCUUGAGUACAGUUGAAGUGGGCGGAAUGUGUCAUGUAGCGGUGAAAUGCUUAGAUAUGACACAGAACACCGAUAGCGAAGGCAGCUCACUAAGCUGUAACUGACGCUCAUGCACGAAAGCGUGGGGAUCAAACAGGAUUAGAUACCCCANUANUC